GUGCGUAACGCGUAUGCAACUUGCCCUAUACAGGAGGAUAACCCGUCGAAAGACGGACUAAUACUGCGUAUGCUCACAACUUGGCAUCAAGUGGUGAGGAAAGAAAUUCGGUAUAGGAUAGGCAUGCGUCCCAUUAGCUUGUUGGUGAGGUAACGGCUCACCAAGGCAACGAUGGGUAGGGGAACUGAGAGGGUGAUCGGCCACACUGGGACUGAGACACGGCCCAG
rnacentral:rRNA from 1 species